rnacentral:rRNA from 1 species
UACGGAGGGGGCUAGCGUUGUUCGGAAUUACUGGGCGUAAAGCGCACGUAGGCGGCUUUGUAAGUUAGAGGUGAAAGCCCGGAGCUCAACUCCGGAAUUGCCUUUAAGACUGCAUCGCUAGAAUUGUGGAGAGGUGAGUGGAAUUCCGAGUGUAGAGGCGAAAUUCGUAGAUAUUCGGAAGAACACCAGUGGCGAAGGCGACUCACUGGACACAUAUUGACGCUGAGGUGCGAAAGCGUGGGGAGCAAACAGG